CACAACACAACACAAACAUUCAAGUAUCCUUAUAGAUGCUGGAAUGAAAUCCAACUAUGCUAAUGAAAUCCAACUAUGCUAAAAUACCAUUUGUUAUCUAUAUGCUAUAACAUGUUCCAAAAACAUUACAUUAUAACCUUACAAAUUGGUGACUAAACCAACACCAUAAUAUUGGGAAACAAAAUAUAAGGUGUUAGAUAAGUAAUAUAACCACAUCGACAACGUGAGAGCGCAUGUUUUCAUCCGAUUCUCCAACUUUGUAGCUUUGAUAAAACACGGACAUGCAUCCAAACACAUACUAAGAUGACGAGGUUUUUUCUGGUUAUUAUUGUUAAACCCAGUAAAUUUACAUUACAACCACUGAUAAUGGUUUCAAACUACAUAAUGCCGCUAGGGGCUCCUGAGAAGAGCUGUAGAGAGAAGACAAUUUACAAACUACAUGCUUCAAAAACAUGGCAAAAUAAACAAAAUUGGCAUAUUAGGGAUUCAAUGAUCACAUACAAAAUUAUAUCUUAUAAGUUAUAUCUAGUUGUAUAGUAAUGUUCUAAUUCUUCAUUUUCUUCUCUUUUACAGCCUUCAUUACUUUCUCUAAAUAAGUCAAGCAUUUUGUACUAAAACUACAAAGACAAUGACUGAAAUAUGCGAUCUAGCAUAAAUCACAUUUUCGAUCAAUCAUUCAUCGUCGUCUGAACUAGCAUAUGCAAGGCCUAGUAAUCCGCCGGCAGAGUUAUCAACCUUAGGCUUAGCAUCUCCUUCAUGCGACCCUGACGUAGGGUGUUCCUCUAUUUUCUUUGUUCCAGUCAAAGAUUGCUCAUUGCCUUUCAAAUUACCACCAUCAGACUCACGAUUCGUAAUAGAAGCAUCACUAGGAGCAUGUGUUGGCCUAUUGCUUUCAGAUCUUGGUCGCUUUGGUUUAAUCUCAACAACUUUUUUCAACAGAUCUUGCUGCCUGCAUUGCAACAAUAAUGAUACUAUGAUGAAUAAAUAGCACUGAAGCCAGGUAACAAGAUAAAAAUGCAUGGAGGUGUAAGUUGAACUGAAAGAAGAAGAUCAACCUGAUCCCACUCUUUGGCUUUGGCUCAACACGUAACGGUAAGGGUACUGAUGCUGGUGAAGAAUCUGCUAAACUUGCCGCUCUGUAUCUAUUGGUAAAGGAAACAAAAUAAUACAUAGGACUAAAUAUGUUUAAUUCCUCGCAAAAUUUCAAAGUUUAGUCUCUACAUAAAUUUUGUUUAAUUUUAUUCAUUAUUUUGCAUUUAUAAGGACUAAACGGAGAGAGUAAAAACACUCAUUUUUGGUAAAAAAUAAAAUUAGGGACUAAAAUUGACUAAAACUUAUGUAGGACUAAACUUAAAAAGAUAAUAGUGGUGAGAGGUUUGGGUAAUACGUUAUAGGUCCUAGGUUCGAUCCUCAGCUCAUUGUAAACCAAAAAAAAAAAACUUAAAAGAUAAUAAUUUUAUAGGAACUAAAAAUUAUUUAACACAAAUAAAUAUAUAUGUACAACUUCCAGCAGAAAGAAUUUUAUAAGAAAAAUAAACUUUUAACAGUAUUUUUAAACACAGCUUCCAUGAAAUGUGAAAAAGGAAAAUGAAUCAAUGUUAAAAAUGCUCUGGUUCCAUUUGGAUAAAAUCAAUUCAGUAAAAUUUAUUUGGAUUCAGACAACCUUAUUCUAAACGUAAGGCAUCAACUUUAAGAUUACAAAACAGCACUACAAUCAUGUGGUGCAAAAUAUGCAUUUCAGUGAUUCCAGUUCCUAUUUAAGAUUUGUCUGCUAUCGGAAAAGCUAUUCACUCUUAAUUUCUUGAUAAGUAGCAAUUUUAACAGGUAAAACUUCCGGAUAGAACAAUCAAUGGUCUCAAAAUAGUAAAUUCAUAGCAUAGUUUCUAAAACCAGACCAAGCAGAAUAGCGUAGUCGAAACGUAUGGUUAACUAUAAACCAGACUAUUGGCAAGUCCAGAACCGCUGAUUGGAGCGAGGAUCUUGAAACUGGUCACCUGGGUAUAUGCUGGCCAAACAACAUAAAUCAGACAUGUUUAAGCAUGUGUUCAAACAUUGUAUUUAUCAAGUUUUGUUGGCAUGUGAAAAUUUAAAAGAUGUCCUAGUAAAGGGAUCUAACUUAAAGGGAUUUAACUUGACCAUUAAACAACAUACUGCUAAACCACUGCUCCUAAAUUUAUUGAUAGAAAUUUGUUUUUUAUAGAAGAGUUAAAGUUUUAAAUAGAGUAUGAUUUGUUUAUUGUUUUUCUGUAUUUAACAACUUUUUUGGGUCUAUAGACGAAGUAGCAAAUACCACUGAAACUCGCACGCUGCGAGGUCCCGGUUCAANNNNNNNNNNNNNNNNNNNNNNNNNNNNNNNNNNNNNNNNNNNNNNNNNNNNNNNNNNNNNNNNNNNNNNNNNNAAGGUUUUCAAGCAGUUUUAAGAAAGUAAGAUGACUUCAAUUAAAACAAAAUUAAGAACUUUGCUUGCAGUAGAGAACAUAUAUAGAACUAGGAACAUAAAAAUAUGCCAGACUCCAAGAUAAAGGAGAAUGAAGCACGGGAUUGUUAUCUGUAGAAAUGAGCACAAAAGGAUAUCUUAAAAGCAGCAAAAGCUCGUUUUUCAGUGCGACGCAGGAGGCGUUCUGCAUCCUCCUCAGCUUCCAUUUGCUCCUUGAGAUAUAGAAGAUCAUCACUGUCCAAGGCUGCAAACUUAAAGUUUAAAACAGAACCACAAGACUAACAUAUAUAAUAUAAAAGCAGCAGAUAAAAGCAAGAGGUGAGGGAACACAAACAACACAGAAACACACAAAAGUUAGAGGAAAAGUGUGGUACCGCCCCGCCCAUGAAGAUAACCUCCACGCUCCCCAGCUACUUCCUGCAUCUGCUUGCAUCAGCCAGCCAAUACAGGAAGCCAGGAUCCCUGUCAGGGCACGUUAUCAGAAAAAUCCCUCAUAAUGCCAGAAAGAUUAUUUGAAAGCUUAAACCAACAUAGUCAAAGGGAGUAUUUCGGUAAAUAACUUAACAGUUACUCAAUAAACACUUAUCAUAUGAGAACAUAUAUAAUCUGAAGGUGUAGCCAAGUGGUAUGAGUUGGAACGCUGAAGGUGUAUUAAAAAGUAGGUUCGUUGUUCAAUCCCUAACAAACUCUUGUCCCCCCUAAAAACUUACCAUGCCCACCAAAAAAAUAAAUGAGCUACUUACAUUUGGAAUGUUAAUUAAGUUUUCAACAUUUGUUCCGCUUCGGAAGUAAAAACAGAACUUUAGAUGGAUGUUAAUCGAAGUCAAGAUGAUAGGUAUGCUUUACAUAAUUAACGGUUUCGAUGAACUGCUCAAAGGGCUUACUAAAGUAAACUGAAAACAACUUAUAGACAUAUCAUAAAGGAAUUUUCUAAGUUCCUCUGACACUUACACAAGUGCUUCUGUCAUAAGAUAAACCCAAAUAAACAAUUCUUCCAAGCACCAUCAGGAAACAAAACCAAAUAAGAAUACUAACAAGGAUAAAUAAAGCUCCAAUUUGGUACAUUCUUAGCAUGCAUGGGGAUUCAAGGAGCUACCCUAAAAAAUACAAAGCUUAUUCUAAACCUGCUAUCUCAUCGUCCAUGCAACAAUUAAACAACAUUGGACAAUCAAAGGACAGCCCUCAUAAUAUCCCAAAAACUAAUUUUUUUUCUUCUUUUCCCAUAAUAUCUCCAAGGAGCCAUACUAUAGCGACACUAUAUCGGAGUGGAAUUUGAAGAAAUCGUUAUUGUUCUGAGAUACACUAAUUUCUUUUGGCGUUAA
rnacentral:lncRNA from 1 species